AAUGUACUCCCUCCGUUCCUAAAUACUUGUCUUUCUAGGCAUUUCAACAAGUGACUACAUACGGAGCAAAAUGAGUGAAUCUACACUCUAAAAUAUGUCUACAUACAUCCGUAUGUAGUAGUCAUUUGAAAUUUCUAGAAAGACAAAUAUUUAGGAACGGAGGGAGUAUAUU
rfam:Triticum aestivum genome assembly, contig: Triticum_aestivum_CS42_TGACv1_scaffold_570354_7AS